UACGAAGGGGGCUAGCGUUGCUCGGAAUGACUGGGCGUAAAGGGCGCGUAGGCGGCGCAGUUAGUCAGUCGUGAAAUUCCUGGGCUCAACCUGGGGACUGCGCUUGAUACGGCUGUGCUUGAGGAUGGAAGAGGCUCGCGGAAUUCCCAGUGUAGAGGUGAAAUUCGUAGAUAUUGGGAAGAACACCGGUGGCGAAGGCGGCGAGCUGGUCCAUUACUGACGCUGAGGCGCGACAGCGUGGGGAGCAAACAGG
rnacentral:rRNA from 1 species